rnacentral:misc_RNA from 1 species
GACGAAAUUUGGUGCAUAUCAUUUAUUUGGUUCAUCUCCUUUCUCUUUUCGUAAAUUGCCCUAAACCAACAAUACAAAUGGGUUCCACUUCAAAUUGCCGAACACCCUACUAAUGAUUCGCUUCAAUCGGAUUUAUAUUCAGUACUCAGCAAAGAUUGAGGUGUUAAUGAACUUCAUGGACUGUUACUAAUAUUAAAAACAAUACUACAACUCUCAAUUGCAAUCUUCAAAUAGAUAAAUGAAAACGAAAGAUUCUCCUGCCCUCAAAAUGCUGCUGAACAAAUACGCACCAGCGCUGCAAGUCAAGUUCUAGUGAAAGACAUCAACCAUUCCAGCUGGAACACAUACCUUUUAUGACAAAAUUUACAUGCUGGGGAAGCCCUUUAACACCAGCUGGCCCUGCCUUAUCAACUCGUAUUAGCUUCUCUACAAAACUAGCUAAAAUGACACCCGAUGAACACCCAAUACGUAAUGAUGUUAUGAGGGCACCCCAACACCAGCUGGGCCAUGACCACCCUGAAUUGCUGAACCAUGAUUUUUAUAAGGGUGUCCACCACCUCCGCCAUCCCUUCCUCGAUUGCUAUAGUAAUUCCUUGGAUAAUAGUGUCCAGACUGGUCAUAAUAUUGGCUGCGACCAUUUUGAUAGCCUCCACCUCCUCUACCACCACUCCGACCGCCACGGCCAUUUGAAUAACCUCUGCGGCCCCCACCACGACUGCCUCUGUGGUUUUGGUAGUUCCUUCGAGCAACAUAUUGUUGCUCUUUGAGGUCAACCUCUUUUUGAUCAUGAUCCACUUCUGAUGGUCUAGCUUGUUCCUGUUCAUCAGAGACAACUUCUGCCAGAAUUUCAGUCUCUAGUUCAUCCUGCAAUUGAGAAACCAACCACAUUAGUACAUGCAAGCAAGGAAAAAUGUUAUAGCAUGACAAGUGAUAGCACCUUUUGAAGUUCCUCAGCAGGGCUGGACACAUUAUCACCAGUUUCAUGCCCUAGUAAAUUUUCUGUAUCUUCAUCCUACAGAAAAGAUAAAUUAGACACAUAAAGCUUAGAGGAAACCCGAAUAUGAAGAUUCAACAAACCAAAUAAAUAAUUUCAAAUAAUUUAAAUGUCAUCAGGCAAGAAACUAAAACUGCAUUCAAAUUAUGGAGAAAAAAGAAAAUCGUUGGACCAAAGGUUCCUGAACUGAAAAUCCAAUAAAAAACCACAGACAAGGAGAGAGAUACAAAUUCAAAAAACAAAUCAUGUGAUUUUGCCAAAUGACAAACCACCAAUAUAACAGAAAGGAUUAUAUGAUUGAUUUCUGAAAUUGCAAUCUAAAUCAAAUGACAUCCAAAAGUGAAUUACAUGGCUCAAACAAAUAUAGCAUGACAGGGAAUAUAUCAAUUCUUGAAGUAACAAAGGAUAGCCAACCAAGUUAAAAACAAAUGAAAAGAGUCAUGCAUUAGUCUCUACUCAGUAACCACAGGGAAUGAAAAAUUGAUGCAUGCAUUUGCAAUAUUUAUUUUUCAUACGAAACCAACAGAUUCAGCAUUAGCUCCAAAGAUUUUUCCUAUGAAAAUAAACUUAUGUAGCUUAGGCAAUGUAAACCUUAUAAUCAAGGUUAACUUCAAAACUGAAGAUAUGUAACACUUCAUCAGAUGUAGUAGAGUAAAACAUGAGCAACACCUUAUACCCUCCUAGAGUGUCCUAGCUUAAAAUUUUCAUGCUACUCCUCCUCUCCAACUAAAUGAAACACAAAUGUAGGCUGCUACUCAGAUACAUGAUUGCCUCCCAACACAAAAGGCAUCCACUAUAGAGUUCCUUGGAAAAAGUCCAACAUAAAGAGAAAACAAAUAUAAGAGGCACAUUUUCCCAGAGCAGAUAAAUCCAAUAACAACUUUUUUCAGGGUAUAGAUGCACUUAUCCAAAACCAUGUGCAAAUGACUCUCCACUUAUAAAAAAGAAGGGAUUCCAACAAGUUCAAUAUACAAUGCCCAUGCCCUGUUAAGGCAAACUGAGUUUAUACUCAAUUUAUAAUGAGAAUGAAGAGGAAGGGAAUGCAGAAAUAUUGACAACUAAAACCAGGAAUCAAAUGAAUUGAUGCCACUAUAAGCCAACCAAUACCCAUUAAUACAAUCCAAUGAGCUCUCAAAGAUAAGGAAGAUAUAGACGACAUAAAAAUUUUGGAAGAGGUGAAGUCAGAAGUAGAAGAGAACUGGAAGGACAAAGGCUGCUUUUGGCCCACAGCAAUACAAUUAACUUCCACCACGACACCUCAAAUCAAUGUUAAUAACACAUAAUGCCUCAACAAAUAAAAUGACCUCCUACCCCUCCGAAAAAAGAGGAAGAUGAGCAAGCAAUAACUAAAACUACCACUCAAAGUAAUUGAACUUAAUUUAUCACCAAGAAUUUAAGUUCUUCAAUCAUCCAAGGAAACUUCAAAUAUGUCUAAACAUGAAAAUCCAGUAUUCCAGUGGUAGAGUUGAUCAAGGAAUAUCACUGAAGUUAAACAUGGCCCUCACAAUACCAAGUUAACAAUAUUCCCCAACAUUUGCAGCAGUAAAAACCAAUUCCAAGGCCCAGAUUUUGCCAAAUAUACCAUGAAGUGUAUACUCUCAGCAACAAAUUUUCCCUCGGAAUGUAAUAAAGCAAAACCCUUUU